GCCUCACUAGCUCAGUCAGUAGAGCAUGGGACUCUUAAUCCCAGGGCCAUGGGUUCUAACCCCAUGUUGGGCA